AAGGUUUUAGCUUAAUAUAAAGCGUUUGGCUGUUAACCAUUAGAUGUAGAUUUCUACAAGCCUUU
rnacentral:tRNA from 1 species